rnacentral:rRNA from 1 species
GGAGUUAGCCGGUGCUUCUUCUGUGAGUGAUGUCCUUCCUGCCGGCUAUUAACCCGCAGGCCUUCUUCCUCACUGAAAGUGCUUUACAACCCGAAGGCCUUCUUCACACACGCGGCAUGGCUGGAUCAGGGUUGCCCCCAUUGUCCAAUAUUCCCCACUGCUGCCUCCCGUAGGAGUCUGGGCCGUGUCUCAGUCCCAGUGUGGCUGAUCAUCCUCUCAGACCAGCUACGGAUCGUCGCCUUGGUGAGCCGUUACCUCACCAACCAGCUAAUCCGACAUAGGCUCAUCCGAUAGCGCGAGGCCCGAAGGUCCCCCGCUUUCCCCCGUAGGGCGUAUGCGGUAUUAGCCUGGGUUUCCCCAGGUUAUCCCCCACUACCGGGCAGAUUCCUAUGCAUUACUCACCCGUCCGCCGCUCGCCACCAGGGAGCAAGCUCCCCGUGCUGCCGCUCGACUUGCAUGUGUAGCUCGCGCCACGCGUCAUCUGAGCAGAUACAACCUACUCGACGAGAGGCGGCGUCGACGACGCGC